rnacentral:rRNA from 1 species
GUCCUUUAGAAUUUAAUUUAAGGUCUAGCCUGCCCACUGAUUUAUUUUAAAUGGCCGCAGUAAUUUGACUGUGCAAAGGUAGCAUAAUCAUUAGUUUUUUAAUUGAAAGCUUGUAUGAAAGGUUGGACGAGGUAAAAUCUGUCUCUAAUUAAUUUAAUUUAGAAUUUAACUUUUAAGUCAAAAGGCUUAAAUAUAAUUAAAAGACGAGAAGACCCUAUAGAUCUUUAUAAUUUAUUUAUUAAAUUUAAUUAAGAAUUUUUUAAAUUUUAUUAAUUUAAUUAUUUUAUUGGGGUAAUAUAAAGAUUAAAUUAAUUCUUUUUUUUUAUUAACAUUAAUUUAUGAUUUCAUGAUCCAAUUUUAUUGGCUAUAAGAUUAAGUUACCUUAGGGAUAACAGCGUUAUUUUUUUAGAGAGUUCUUAUCGAUAAAAAAGUUUACGACCUCGAUGUUGGAUUAAAGAUUAUUUCAGGUGUAGAAGUUUGAAAAUUUUGGUCUGUUCGACCAUUAAAUCUUUACAUGAUCUGAGUUCAGACCGGUGUAAGCCAGGUCGGUUUCUAUCUUUAAUAAAUUAAAAUAUUUUAGUACGAAAGGACCAAUUAUUUAAUAUAAAAUAUUUAAAUUUUGAUUAUUAUUAA